AGAUAAAGAAAGGAGUUGGGGACCAUCCGAGUCAUCGUCUGUGAUUUUAUAAAGACUACAAAGGCAUUUCUUCCUGCAAUGACGAAGAAUAACCAUGGCCAUAUUGUCACUGUGGCUUCGGCAGCUGGACAUGUCUCGGUCCCCUUCUUACUGGCUUACUGUUCAAGCAAGUUUGCUGCUGUUGGAUUUCAUAAAACUUUGACAGAUGAACUGGCUGCCUUACAAAUAACUGGAGUCAAAACAACAUGUCUGUGUCCUAAUUUCGUAAACACUGGCUUCAUCAAAAAUCCAAGUACAAGUUUGGGACCCACUCUGGAACCUGAGGAAGUGGUAAACAGGCUGAUGCAUGGGAUUCUGACUGAGCAGAAGAUGAUUUUUAUUCCAUCUUCUAUAGCUUUUUUAACAACAUUGGAAAGGAUCCUUCCUGAGCGUUUCCUGGCAGUUUUAAAACGAAAAAUCAGUGUUAAGUUUGAUGCAGUUAUUGGAUAUAAAAUGAAAGCGCAAUAAGCACCUAGUUUUCUGAAAACUGAUUUACCAGGUUUAGGUUGAUGUCAUCUAAUAGUGCCAGAAU
rnacentral:lncRNA from 1 species